GAUGAACGCUGGCGGCGUGCCUAAUACAUGCAAGUCGAGCGAACGGACGAGAAGCUUGCUUCUCUGAUGUUAGCGGCGGACGGGUGAGUAACACGUGGAUAACCUACCUAUAAGACUGGGAUAACUUCGGGAAACCGGAGCUGAUACCGGAUAAUAUUUUGAACCGCAUGGUUCAAAAGUGAAAGACGGUCUUGCUGUCACUUAUAGAUGGAUCCGCGCUGCAUUAGCUAGUUGGUAAGGUAACGGCUUACCAAGGCAACGAUGCAUAGCCGACCUGAGAGGGUGAUCGGCCACACUGGAACUGAGACACGGUCCAGACUCCUACGGUAGGCAGCAGUAGGGAAUCUUCCGCAAUGGGCGAAAGCCUGACGGAGCAACGCCGCGUGAGUGAUGAAGGUCUUCGGAUCGUAAAACUCUGUUAUUAGGGAAGAACAUAUGUGUAAGUAACUGUGCACAUCUUGACGGUACCUAAUCAGAAAGCCACGGCUAACUACGUG
rnacentral:rRNA from 1 species